UGAACAUCACUCUGAACAAAUUUUCUAUUCAAAGACUGUCUACUAAACAAGUUCUGCUUUUGCACUUAUGCAGUCUGUUUGAUCAUUGACUUUUCAGUGGAAAGGAUUCUCUCUUGUGAACUGUAACUCCUGUUCAUCCACCAGCAAUGAAGAGUAAUCACCUUCUCUUGACUGCCUUCUUCACAAUACUCAUGGUGACUCCAGGUUCAUCUCCUGAUACUCCACAUGAUACAUUCAGCUGUGAGCUUAAUGGAGGUUUCUGCUAUCAUGCCCCUAAGUGUCCCUGGUGCUUUGGUGAAUAUGGGUUCUGCAACUCAGAUGUGACUUGCUGUUUUAGGGAGAGCUGGCGUCCUGAGUGUGAAGAAGCAACAACUCCAGCUGAUGCUGAGACUCUCAGAACAACAUUAUCACCUCCCAAAAGUGAUGCUUCCCAGAAACGUCUCUGUAACUCUAAGGGUGAAUAGAAUUAGAUAUCUAUUAAUGUUGCCAACCAUGUUAACAGGUAGGUCACUGCAUGAAAUGAAGUCUAAGUAUCUAUGUAUUGAUUCUUCUGUUUUUUCCCAUCCUUGGCUUACCUCUCCUUCAUCUUAGUAGUGCCAGCAAAAUUCCCCACAUUUACAUUUGAGAAAGAAAUCCAAGGUGGAGACAAAUUGCUGGCAUUUCUCCCCAGAUGAACUCUGCUAUGUACCCACCUGCCCAGCCAAAGCACAGUGGUACCCCAGGUUACGAAAUUAAUCCGUUCCGCGGAGCCCUUCGUAACCCGAAAGAUUUUGCAACCCGAAAAAGCCAUA